rnacentral:lncRNA from 1 species
CUUGGCCACCAAGACUGUAACACACACUGUAUUAAGAAGGCUCAGGCAGAAGUGGGUCCCAGGCAAAGAGCCUCAAAGACCAGAGAUGAACCAGAGAGCUGCGCCUAAAGGAGCCUGUGGUGUGUGUUCAAACCCAAGUUAGUGAAUCUCUGUGGAGUUUCCUGGCAUCACAUCUGUAUUCGAUUAGUCAUAAAGACCAAUUUCAACUCAGGAAGAAAUAAACUAUAUAAGGGCAUGAAUAGAGGU